ensembl:lncRNA
CCCCGGGGAAGACCCAGGACUAGGUGGAGAGAUUAUAUCUCUGCACUGGCCUGGGAACGCCUUGGGAUCCCCCAGUCAGAGCUGGUAGAUGUGGCCCGGGAAAGGGAAGUUUGGGGUCCCCUGCUGGAGCUGUUGCCCCCGCGACCCGACCCCGGAUAAGCGGUUGAAGAUGGAUGGAUGGAUGGAUGCUUUUUCCCCCCCACAUUUUUAGGAUCGUUAGAAUGUUUUUGCAUCUAGGACCGCAGAGAGCCUUCGCAUCUUCCACCGCAAACUAAAGACACACCUCUUCAGACUCCACCUCGACUAAAAGACUAACAAAUUGUAGCACUUAAAUUGUAUUUUUAACGCCACUCAUCUAUAGCAAAUUGUAAAUUGGCUUGUUUGAUAAAAUUGCACUUUCUCGUUUCUUGCUCUUCUGAGUUUGUACCCCUAUGGUCGAAUGCACUUAUUGUAAGUCGCUUUGGAUAAAAACGUCAGACAUGUAAUGUAAUGUAAUCUAAUUUUGCUGGAUAAAAGCACAUUAAGGUGUACUCAGGGGUGCCCACACCUUUUCGGCUCAUAAGCUACUUUUCAACCGGCCAUUCCUCACAUUCUUGGUCAUUACCUUACUCUGAUAAAUACCAUACUCGGACAAAUAUUGUUUUAUGAAUUACUUUUGGCUUUAAAGAUAGUUGACACAUGCAACCACGGUAAAAGGUAGCAUCAAAGCCAGCUCUAAUCAACACAAUUUUACCAUCAUUUAUUCAACAUUCCUGUUAACAUUUGUGGGAAUACGAGUCAUGUCUGAACAGUGGGACACAUUUAAGUGAGAGCUUCUGCCGUUGAGGUUUAUUUCCUCUAAUAUCACUAUUUUAGUCGCAGAGAAGAUGCUACAGCUACGGUCAUACAAUGAUUGACACCGGUUUCAUGUCAUGUGGACAAAUACAGUAGACUCAAUGUAGUGAUGCUAAGGAAUAGGAACACACACGCACUCACACACACAGACCUUUGUGUAACCCUCAAAUAGUGUCCUUGCCCUCAGCUAACACUGGCUAAUGUGUUGCACUUGGAGGUGGGGAAAUCUGGUCAUAGUUGCUGGCACUUGCCUUGGGUGAUUCACACAAAAACACACACAGGCGGACACACAAAAACACAUCGGGACAAAUGUGCAAAGUUGUCCCUGAGGGUGUGACAAGAGGACAGUGAAUCAAAGGACGCUGAGAAACGGUCAUCUCUGACAGAUUGACUCAGACAGUCCUUUUCCUCCUCUUUGCUGCAACCGCUCAGUGAAUAACCUUCAUGUCACACUGCUGCAUGUGCAAUAUGCUGUUGUGGUUGUUAAAACGAGUUCACAAGAUGCACUCUGCAUCAACGUUGCACCUGUAAAUCCAGACUCCCUCUAUACUGCCGCAAAGUUGAAUGACUUUCUUGUACUUCAUGAUGUCCUUAGUUUGGACUUUUUCCUCUCGCUGGUCUGUAUGUCAAAAUGUGAUAUUUGAUUAUUGUAGAUCCAUCACAUCCUCACCCAUUGACCUUCAGGUGUACAGCAGAGAAUGAUACUGCUUAGCUGUGUGUGUGUGUGUGUGUGUGUGGGCUGAUAGGAAUGGUCCCAUUUGUCCUGGAAUCCAAUUAUUUUCUUCCUUUGAAUAAUUGUGUAAUGUUGGUUAAGGUCAAAGCUAGACAACUCAGAUUCAUCAUGACUCUUUUUACCUUUAAGUGUACACGCACAGCAUCGUCUUUACAAAUAAUAACUGAAGGUAGACAAUUAAAAAAUAAACGGUAAACAUGCAAAUAACUCUUUAAAGCUGUCAUUUGGAGUCCUUGAAAACACGCUGAGAUUCACUUGAUGGAAGUAAAACUACAUUCUAUGCACACACACACACACACACACACACACACACACACACACACACACACUCACAUACACACUCACUCUCAUAAAGAAUUGGCAAACCAAUUUUCUGGCUAUAGGUAUAUAUUUUCCAUCUGUUUAUUGUGGAACAAACAUUUGAAAAGGGAAGGGAAAUGCUCCGGGGAGUUCAGUUUGCCAUUCAUGUGUCCUAUCUGUGAGAAUUAGGAGCUGAAAGUCAUGGUGUAGAUACCCCCCCCCCCCCUCUGCACAUCACCCCCACCCCUUUAUCCAAAUGUGUAGAAAGAGGCAAGGUGGUGCACACAUCAGCAGUUUAGAGAAUCUCUGCAUGCACUGAAAAAUAGGAGGACCUGAGGGAAAAGGUCAAAGCAAUAUAAAUUUGACAUGUAGAUAGGAAGGCCUUUUCUCACCUUCAGGGAGUCUACAGUUGUGCACAUUACACAAGGCUGUGUGCUGUGUGCAAAAUGCUCUUUCUUCCUUCUGAGCAUGAACCUGUUUUAUAUUCUGUGCAUGUACACAAACUUUGGCUGCAUUUCAAUGACAUCUCACUUAACGUAAUAAACUCAAAAUGUCUGUUAAGACACAAUAGUCGAAGGAGGUGAUACGAUGGUGAAUAUAUUUUAAUAUUUAUAUGUUGAAAGUGUUGCGAACGGGGAGCUUUGUGGAAAAAUAUAUAAUAAUAUGGUUCUCUUAUUGCAUGCACAACACAUUUUACUACACAACUGCACAAAUCUUCAUGUAUUUCAUGUAUCAUGUAUUGACACUUAAAGACUCCAGACUACUAUACUUUUGGCACAUUUCCUUUGUUUUCACUAAAAUAGCUAAUUACCAGAAUUCUAAAAGUAACUUUGCACCUUGCUCUGAAGUGAUGUUUUGCACGUGUGCUUUACUGCACCUUCAGCCAUAUCCAAGAGUAUAUGUCAAGGGCUCCUGCAGGACGAUAAUCACUGCAUCAAAACUAAGCCUGAACUCAGAUUAUGUGCAGAAAAUUAAACAAGAACGGAGCAUAAACUAAAACUGGCAUGAAGAGUGUCGACAGGAGGGGAGCAAAUGUUAAGAAAAUGUUAUUAUUACACUUAUUAUAGGAAGGAACUGCUCUAUUAAAAUGCAGCUGCAUCAGAGCACUUUGAGGACAGUUUCGUUCUACAUAAGCUCAAGUAGUUUAUCAUUAUUUGUGUUAAAGGUGAAAAAAUUCUGUUAGUACUUAAUUAGUUCAUAAAUAAUAUGGAUGAAACGUAUCCAAUUUGAACAGCAGCACCAAAAUAUACUUUUGUGGGUGACAAUAUAUUAUUAAGACUUUAGGAUUGCUGAUUGAUCUUGGAGAUAAAACUAGACAAAACACCUGACUACAAAGUCAAUGCAGUGGCUGUUGGGGUGUUGGGGCCUUAACCUCAGAGUAAGUAGGCAGUACGGACUCUGUCACCCUCCUCACUCCACUCGUCAGUCACUCCCUCCUCAUCAGUCGCAACUGCCUUCACCUGCUCACUCACCGGCCUCUGACCCCACACCACGCGCAGUGCCAGAUGUUUCUUUGGUUUUCCAGGCCAGACUAUCCAGCGCUCUCCCACGGACUGAUCUCCUGCCCGUCCCCGUUCUUCCCGCCUUGCCUGACUCCCAGUAAGCCCACCAGUCGUCUUCUUCUUCUUCAGGCUCUUAUAACGAACCUACCGAACAGCAGGUAAAGACCCUCGGGAUCUUGUGUGUUGCAUUUGGGUCCUUAUUCAUUUGGUUACCGGCCUGCGUUGUAGAACCAGAACAAUUCCCGUCUCACUCACUUCUUCACACGUUGUUUUUAUAGCAAAGUGUUUCAUGGUGUGGACAGCGGACGCGGGCCCAUGUCUAUGCUCCUCCUGCUCAUCGCUCACGUCACAUGUGUGAGAACAAUCUGGUGCACAGUUUCAAUUUUUGCUUUCUGACCAGUCUGAAUGAUGAAUUGCUUCCUCUAAAGAGGAUUUCAUGCAGGCAUUUUUAUAAUAUUAAUUAUUUUGAUACUAUCCAUAAAAUACUUAAAUUAUAGCAACACUUGGUGUGAAAGAUAUUUUAGUGGAAGGAACCAUUAAGAGUUGGAGGGGAUGGAGAAAAAGUAAAAAAUCCAAAAUAUUAAUAUCUCAGAAUCAAGUAAAACUCAAACAGACACACCGAAGUGUCGGCGUACACAUGCCAGGCUGAGAUACACCCCUCAUUUGUACACUCUCAUACACUGCUGGUGGCAAAAUAUCCAUUCACACAUUCCCUCUGACAGGGAGAUUUUAAUGGGAAGCGGCAGCCUCCCCCGGGCGCCAAUCAAUCAGCAUGUCCUCACGCUCUAAGACAGCCUUCGUGUGGGACAGAGUCGCUGGGGAAGUCCAGCUUCAUCACUGACGUUGUGUGUGAACAGUCUUUGCGUAAGCCGCGGCGCUUAUUGUUGUGAUCAAACCCUUUUUAAAUCGAGAGAAAACCAGAUUGAAAGGCAAACUUUUGCAGAACACAGGAUGGUAUUUCUCUUCAUCAGUCUGUCUCCAACUUUCUGACUCUCGCUCCCCGUCUUCCUUGUCUCUACGACACACAGAACGGGCGAAUGAAACUGAAUUCUGGGCGACGUAUAUGGAAAGAUUCAUCAUGUGUAUAAAAUGACUUUAAUGUAGCGAGGGGAAAAAAGUGACUGAAAGAGGGCUUGAAGUGUGAACCUUGUAACUGAUAAUGUGACGGACAGACACAAGAAAGAAAACAUCUUUGGUCUACUGUUUUAUUUCUCACGAUAUUUGAGGAAGAAACUUGUUUCUUUUUUUUAUCCUUCAAUCCAUAUUUGUUUAGUUUCUACUCUGCCUAUUGCAAUAAGGUACGAGAGGCAGUACAGUAUUGUGAAUAAUGUUAUAGUUCAAGUUGUAUUUAGCCCUGAUGUGUAUCGGAGGGCCAGCAAACCCCUGAACUGUAAGUGAACGUUGCACCAGCUAGUGAAGCGGUUAAUUGCCCACUUUGUUUUGCUGACUGUGUCUUUUCUUUGUUGGGCAACAUUUCAUAGGUCUCAAUUUCUUUCUUAUCUAUUGUAGCAUGACGCCCACCUGAAUUAUAUCACUCAUCAAAAGUGCUAACUGUUAAACUUGAAAUGACAAGGGUCGUGCAAAAUCUACAGUGCACAGUUCUGUGUGGCUCAAUACGAUAAACACCGUGACUCCUCGACCAAUCAGAAUGCUCCGAACACAUUUUACACUAAGUGACAGCUUUUGCAGUUGCACUCUCAGUCCCAGAGAAGGUGCUGGAGUCCACGAUGAUUGACACUGAGUUCAGGUCACAUGGACAAAUACACCCCGAGACUCACUCUCAACCAACCAAUCGGAAUGCUUGUUUUCAUCCACCCGUAUUAUAAUUAAGGUUACUAGUAUUGCCUCUUGUACCUUAUUGCUUAAUUACAAUAUGGGUAGAUGAAAUCAAGCAUUCUGAUUGGUAGACUGAGUCACGUGUAUUUUAUCGAGCCAUAAAGUACUGUUUACAUUGAACUAAAUAUACAAUUGAUUGCUAAUCUAUAUAGAUUUAUAUAUUUCUUUUGUUGGUGACACAACAGUAUUCCUUUGCACGUAUAAACAUCAAUCUUAGAAAACCGGGGUUGCCUCUGGAUCAAGUGUAGGACCAAAGAGCGUGUGUAUCGGGCAGGAAGCCCAAAGAUAAAUGGAACACGAUGAAGAUAGAUGAAGGUGAAAACAAAUGAUGUUUCUAUAACGCCUAAAAGACCGCUCAGAUACGUUCAGCAUUGUGCGUGUUACAUAUUCUCCAUCCUUGUGCUACUCCCCUUUCAUCAAUGCGCUCUUCCUUUCACCUCGCUAUCCACCCAUCUAUGUUUAAUCUAUCUGCUCUCAAGAACUUGCGCCUUCUCUUCUGCCCAUCCUUCCUCGCCAUCCACCCCUGCUUUGCCAUCAGGGGCAGUUCAGUUACUUUAUUUUAUCUCUCCCCCUGCAACCGUUGCUUUCAUCUCUUUUGGUUACCUUGCAUCCUGCUGUUUCUCACCUCCACUUCUAACCUGCUCACCACGCAGCCAUCCGUUCCUCUACUGCAGCCAGUUUCCGCUUCCUCUGUCCUCUGUCCCGAUCUUGUUCUCCUUUAUCGCCAGCCUCCGUCUGCCGCUUCCUGUCAGCUUUUUGUUUUUUAGUUUACUGCUUUCAUGGUGUGUAGCCUUCCCUUGGUCUUCAGUCCCUGCCACUAUUCCCCAAUCUUUCCAUCUCUGCCUCCUUUCCCCCUGUCCAACAGAUCUUUGUACACCUGAAAGCAGGGUGCCAUCUGCUCAACGGGUGUCUUCUUCUGCUUCACAUUUUUUCGUACAAUAUCCUGCUUCUUUUUUUUCCUGCCCUUUGCAGAAGGCUUUUCUUUGAAUGCAUUUGAAUGCAUCGGUAUCCUCUUCAGGGUACUCGCUUUGAGACAUUUAAAACAUUAUUUUAUCAUUUUCUUUUUCUGUUACUUAAAGGUCAUGUGAUGAUAAACACAUAUUCGAAUAAAGUGUUUAUCUUCUUUUUUUUUUUUUUAACUCUUAAAAAGAGGGUGUGCGUCGGGCCUAACAACACCCCCGAACUGUUACAUCAUUGCACGAUAACGUACAGCCUUUCGUACCUCAUUGCUUAAAGUUUAACUGGUACGAAUGCUUCUUUGCGAGGUCAGCUUGUUUCCCUGCAUCCCUGGAUGCUUUAGUUGGAACAUUUUUAGCAAUUACUAGAUAAUUGCUAGGCUUUUUCCUCUGUCUCUCGUCUGUUACUUUGUUGAAAUGUGACUUGUUGCCCAUUAUUGUUUGGGCACUAAAAUUGAAUUCACCCCAAUGGAGUUCCUCCUAAUUUACUGGAAGGAAAUGGUUUCGUUCUUGCAAAUACUUGUUUAACCCUUUCAUAACUCUCUUAAAUACCCAAAAGGUUGGGAGUGGCAGAACAACAAAUCUUUUGUUAAAUGGUACGUCUCUCGGUUUGUAGCCUUUCAGUCUGUUCUUGAGUUCUCACUUCAUGUCUCUCUUGCUCUCUUUGCGACAUGUGAAGGCCAUUUGUGUUAUGAGUCACCCGCUGCCUCCUGCUGAUUUACGGCCGUUCCCUGUGAAAGAGGUUGGAGGCUACGCGGGAACAAUCUCGCCAGGUACACUGCUGCGUCUUGGCACUCACUCGUGUGUGUGUGUGUGUGUGUGUGUGUGUCAUGCAUAUGCGAAGGUACAUGCUACUUUAACAGACGGCCUCUGUGUGGGAGACCAGUACAUCGCCCCAAUAGGGUGUUGUCACUUCAAAUGAUGGCAAGUGACUGACAAGAAGUCUGUGAGCUGUGUGCUUGUGUUUGUGUGUCUGAGAGCUAAGUGGGAGUUUGGCACUUGUGCGCUUUUUGCAGGAACAGAAACACCAACUCAUGUCCAGUUGUACAAGGACUUUAGGAUUAGAAGAGCUGCGCGUGUACUCUCGCUCUUGAAUGUCGAUUUUUGUAGGGAUGACGGACACCGGUGUCUCUUUAGGUCUUGGUCUUUGGGGAACGCACUGACGGACGCUCCUCAGCGGUGGAUAAGGACACAUCGUCCUGGUACCAGCAAGUAUGUGGCAGACGCAUUUCACGUUUCUGUCUUCCUGGGAUUUAUCAAUAGAUUUAUUGAAUAACUGAAUUACUAGGCAGAAGCUUUAAUGGUGUAAUCAUUACUUUAACUAGAAACACCUCAAGCCUGCAUGUUAAACUUUAAAUUUGUCAGUUUCUACCAAAUGAAGGAGGUUGUUUGAAGUUCAUGCGAUAUGUCGCAUCUCACUUAUCGACAUUUGGGGAUUGUGAUGUUGUUUAGAGUAUCAAUACACCAGAGAAGGAAGAGGGAUCAUUGGGCAAUGUGAACCAUGCUGUUUAAAAAAUAUGAGACAAACGUAGCUUCUAAGGAAGCCAGAAGGGUUGAGCUUUAAAGAACAAGAAGGGAAUGAAUAAAAAUCCUUUUUGAGGUACGUUUGAAACGAAUCAACCAGACGUCACAUGAGCUGAUCUCUACAUCUAACACGUUGUAUUGCAAGGCCAUACAGAGAUUACUUUUGCCGUUUCUUAAUUAGUCUCUUUACACCAACAUUCCUUUGUAAAGGCCCUGUCAUUUGAUUUCUAACUCAAAGCAUGGAUAAUAAGAAAAACUUGUGCUCAACUAGAAUACAUUUACUCAUCCUUUCACCCUCUGGUUUGGAUUUCUUUGAUUUCAGCACAUCGUCGCUAAAAACAAAUUAUCUUCCUCUGCACAGGUUUCCCUGUCUGACAGUCAGCAGGCGAUGGAUGUGCCCUCUUUCUGCGCUGCUGACUGAACGUCGAGUUUAAAUGAGUGUUUCAUUUUUCACAUACUGUGUAUAUAUAUAUAUUUUUUAUUCCUAUUAUACCCACGGAAAAGACCUGAAAAAGAUCACAAGACUUGUUUUAUCUUCUGGAAAUCUGAAAUCAGACAAACUUAUCACUUGGUUGUAACUUCUUAUCCAUAUUUCAGUGGCAUAUACUCUGACCUCAAGUUUGCAAAAUGUUUUUCCACUUUAAAUAAAUGGCAUACUGCUUGUUGCAUUGCAGUAGGGUUGCAUAUGAAUCGAGCAGGGCACGGGCGGGUGGGCUGCGUGACAAAAGGCACCAUAAUCUUUGCUAGAAAGGCCACAAAUGUCAGCGGACAUGUAACAUAACCAUGUCCUGGCUUGCUGGUACAUUAUUGUAUUUUCAAAGCUUUGGGUGGGCACACAGGUCCUGACAUUAAACAGGCUUUGGUUCGCUCGCCUCGGCGUUUCUUUCUCUCUCGCUCUCCUUUAGCCAGUUUCCCCUUUGUCCUCUCUACUGGUCAAGUUAAUAGGUCUUUAACCCUGUGUCAAUGAGCUACGGGCUUUGGUGUGCUCGCCCACACUAUGACAGGUCCCAUCCCAAUUAGGCUGAGAUGCAAGGCCAGGAGACGGCAUCAGUGUGUGUUUGUGUGUAAGCGAUCCUCAAAACAUCGCCCGAGGUGCCGCCAUUGUCGCUAAUGACAAAGAUAAUGGGAUACAGACGCAAACAGCCACAACCACGUACACAGUAAAUCAGCUCACCCUUCGCCCUCCCAAACACAGACAAUAAUUAUUUUACAUACAGAUUCCCACUGGGGGCUUGUGAAGAUAAUACAAUCAGGAGAUUAUUAGCAUCACCAAACUUGAAGCGAUUCAUUUGAUCAAGAGAUUGCCUAAUUUGAUACUGCACAAUUUCCAUUUGUGUUGUUAUUCUGAUGGACAAUAGCUUUUAAUGAUCCAUUUGUUUACAGCUGAGGAUGGUAAUGACCUCACACGAAACACAAAACCAGGCGGCCACAUGGAUUUUAUUCAUAAGGGCCCACAACUAAUCAACUAUCAUUCCGGGGAAGUUCAUUUAUUGCAUUCUUGUUUGCAUUUCCCCCAACAUCUUAAGGACCAUGAAGAUGAACCAGAUUACAGCAAUACAGGAUUCACUGUGUGCCUCGUGGACGGUUAAAAUAAGGGAAACUAAAAAACGACUGAACAGAUAUUUUGUAUGUUAUAAUACUCAAUCUUUUAACUUCAGCCAGAGGUGAAAGUGAAAAAGAAAUAUAGUGUGUACACUUCUUCUCCAACAGCACCACCAAAUCCAACUUAAACACGCCCCUCCCCCCCCCCCACCCCUGCAGAGAUGUGUUCAAAGGGGUCGGUGAUUUUAUGUGUGAAUUGUCUUUUUUAUUGGCCGUGUGGGAGAAAAAGGAGGUGAGCAGGGUGGUGGGGAAGAUAAGACGGCAUUAUCUGCUCCGCUCAUUCUCUCUUUCACCAGCGGGGGGGUUUGGAGCCUUACCUCUCCCUCCCUCUCUGUGGGUCACUUCCACAGUCUGAGGGAAACUGAUGGAUGUUACACAAACACUCAACGUGUCCCUCUGCUCUCACUUCCACAGACACUGGCCUAAACAUACAAGAUGCGUUGCAGAACCAAACAAGAAGCAGUGGUAAAAAGAAACCAAGGCAAAUGGAAAACGCAAAAGAAUACACAAGAUUUUACUAAAUAGAGCAUUAAUGGCAAAAAAAUUGACAAAAGUGCACAAAACCACUUCUAUUCAUCUCUCCGGACUUCCUUGGUAGUUUUGGAUGGUACCUGGUACCGUCUAGCUUCAAGCCCGUCCAGGGGCCUCAUGUACAAAGGGUGCGUACAGGACAAAAUAAUACAACGAGACAUAAAUACUUGUAUGGGUAAUUUAUUUAAGUUUAAACAUAUUUAACAACAUAUUACCUACACAAAAAUAAGUAAAUUAACUAACGGCCACGACCGCAGACUUCUCGCUCGCACACACGCGCUCUCUCUCUGCGCAAAGCGGUUUAAAUGAACUUUCUGCUAGCAGUUUAAGGUCGCGAUACUUGUCCCAAAUAUGUCAGGCGUCAUUCAGUGAUUGAAACUGAAAGUUUUACAGUGCUGACAUCGAACGCUCCGAGCGAGCUGUGCUGUAGACACGGAACUUCUUCUUGGCAAGAAACGGCAAAUAAUCAAAGCGGUGCAUGAAGCUGUUGUAGCCGAUCUAGUCUAUUUUAUUCAUGCAAUAUAGGCAGUACAGUCAGGCGCACGCUCCCCACUCCUCUUACGUUUGCUGCUUAUUCCUGAUGGUAGCGUGCCAAAGAGCACAUUUUUGCGUGCCUCCACUUUGGAAAGUAGUACUUCCAUCUCACUUUCGGGGAAGUUUUUUUUUUUUUUACCAUCUUACUCAUUCCUUUUUUCUAUCUUUUCUGAUCAUGCAGAGGGGGGAAUCGCAGGUGCAGGGCUCAUUUAAAUAUUAUUUGCAUAUUUGCGUGGACAGGGAGGAGUCGGGUACUCAGACAUGUGCGCUCAAUCCGCCAUGUUUCAGUAAGAAAUCCAUGCAAGUCUUUGUACAUGAGGCCCCAGAUGAGGCCCCAGAUGAGCAGAGCUCAUCAGAGUUAAAACAAUGCACACCAAUGAUACGUCUAUAGAGCCAAAUGGAACAUCCUGCAAGAACCAGGCCUUCUAAAUAGAAGGGCUGUCGCCAAUAGCAACUGCAAAUAAAUACAAAAUGGCCAUCCUACAUACCUCUGUUUUGGUCGCAGAGGAAAGGAUUUUGAAUGUGUAGCGCUGGAGAUGAUGAUCAGCUGAGACUACUGCAUACAAUGAGAAGCUAAUAUGCACGGAGGGGAUAUGGGUGAAAAUGACCAAAAGCGAGUUUAAUCAAGCAGAACCAUGCAGUGGAAACGAGGAAAAAUAGUGCAGAAUAGUGCAAAGGGAAGAUCCGGGGAUACAAAGAGACACGAUCUAAGGAAAGAAGGAAGGCAGUAGGAGGUAAGCAGGUGUUUCGGCUCAGCACCGGUCCUGGCCUUUAAUUUCUCUCCCAGCAGGGAAAAAGUUAUCAGCCUUUGUCUGAGAGCUUUUAUUAAUCAAGCCCAGUGCUGUUAUCGGUCACAUGUUUGACUUUACUUUAAAAGGAACACACCGAUCAUGGUCUUUUCAAGCAGGAGGAUUUUUAUGCGAUGAAAUUGUUGCAAUCAGUGUAACAUUUGCGAAGGAGGUACAACGUAUUUAUGUGGAAAUGCCAUCGAUUCAUGGCAAGACGCAAGGCUUUUGUUUUGUGUCCAGCAGCGUCGCAGUUUAAUUAGUUCUUUGAGGGAUUUUACAUUUCCAGUUAGAAUAAUGAUCACUUUCCAUAACUGCGUAUUGUAUUCUGUGGUACUUCAAUUAUGUUAUAUUGAAAAAGCUUACAUAGUCAUGUCAGAAACGUUCUUUUUAUCUCAGAUUCAUGAAGAGUCUGACAUUUAGCAAUUACAUAUUGUUUACCAAAGUGACCUUAAAUCAUGUUUAUUUUUAGAUGUCCUCUUUUCAGGUGGUUAGUGGGGGGGGGGAAACCUUGUUAAUUAAAAGAUAAUGACAUUAUGUUUCAUGAUUGGUCCACACCCCCACACUCAUUUGUACCAAACUUUCAAAUUGAAGUCCUCAAUAUAACCUUGAGCCCACAAAGCCUGUAUGUGAGCGCUCGCACCCAACAAACUGUCCUCUUCUCUGAGUCACUUACAGACACUUGAAUUUACCUUUUUUCUUUUUUAAAUGUAGCUGCAUUUGCUCAAUGGAAAUUAAAAUCUUCAGCUCCUUUUUGUCAUUUUUUUGUGACCAUUUUCGUCAAACAUGCAGCAGUAGAACAAACACGUAUUCAUUCUGGAAAAAAUGAAUUAAAUUGAUCACUAUUAAGUCUGUAUGUUGGUCUGUUUGAUUAGUUAAGCACACCGUUAAUUGCCACUAUUCAGAACUCCUAUCUUGAACUUUUUAGCUAUUCAUAUGGUAACUUUGGGUUGGAGUGAUUCAUUUGAUUGCUCUGCUAUAGUGUUUUUUUUUUUUUUUUUCAGAGGACUGAAUGAAUCAUUUUCCCUUUUGAGAAAGUACGGUACCCUGAGGGGAAUUUAAUGAAGUCAAAAUUCUAUUCACUAUAAAUACUGAUUUUUUUUUUAAAGUGGUUAUCAAUACAAUGCUGUUGUAUUUGAUUGCCAAAUUAGAUAUUCUGAGAGUAGACUGAUUGCACAGAGAAAUAUGUGCAUGAAUUCCUUUUAUUCGGGUAUGUUUUACAAUGCCAAUAGAGUUGUAUAUGUGCACAAAAUCAAAAUGAUCUACUCGACCGUAAAGGAUUGAGGGAUUGAAUUUGAUGAGCGUGUUUGUCUUUGCUCGCCCCAGAUUCAGAUUUUUCAACAUGUGAAAAACACCGUUGUUGUUGAGUGGCGAAAUUUAAAGGACAAAGAUGUGUUCCUCUGUUAGUGUUCACAGAAGAUAAAAGACAAAAUGAUGGGAAAUAGGUUUACUCUUUCUCUCAAACGGAUCCAUUUGGUUCCCAUUCACUGAGAACAUCAAUGUUUGUACAGACAGAAUCCGACAUCCUUUAAGAGGUUCACAAGUGUUUUGCAAUGAGAAAAGCAUACACGGAAAAUAAACGGAGAGCUGAAUAUCCAAAUGUUUUCCUGCUGUACGUGGAAUGACAUUUUAUUUCCACUCUGCCAGCUCGGAAGCGAAGAGGCGAUAAUGAGCGAGUAGUAGACGCACUGGGCAUCUGGAGCCAGCAUAUGGAUACCUCUGGUAAUGGUGAGCAGACAGACCAUAAUUCUGCAGCCUUUCGACAGUCUCUUAACAACAGCUGCGACCCAAUAAACAACGAUUGUUUUGAACUGCAACUGUUACUUAAUGAUGUAAGAGAAGAUAAAGUGAUAUAAUGACUGUUCAAGUUGUUUGGGAAUCUGUACUCUUGUGCCAUAAACAUACACACAGUUGAACCAAUUCCAUUAUGCACAUUACAAACUAUUAAUCUAUUACAAGAGAAGUGUACCUGCCUAUUUUAGGUUUGUUGACGGAUCAGUUACAAAAGUGUUAAGUUCUACAAUCAGUGAAAAAGCUUUAACGAUCUUAAUAAAGUCUUGGGAUUAUUAUUAACAAUUAUUCACUUGAUAUUUGAUGUGGAAUGAAGCUGUAACAGAAACCAUGGCGACCAGGCUCCACUGUCCCCUGUUGACUCUGACAUUUAUCAAAUCGUAAAUCCUGUGGUAUUCCUGGUUUAGCGGAUACUGCCAAGGAGGUCGUUACCCAACCUGCCUCGUGCCUCGCUGCCACAGCUCCACUGACAUAAUGUUUCUAUCAGAGCAGCGACACUGAAGUGCACGUACGAGUUUAUGACAGAGUCCUGCCAGCAGACAGCUUUAUGGCCUCUGUCAUGUCUGCUGCACCGUCGUAACUUAUGUCACGACUCUGCCAGCUUAAUGGGGCGUGCUGAUGUAUGGACUUCCGCACUUGCGCUCGAUAACCUAAGUGAUACUGUUCCUGUACGCUCGGAAUCCAGAGCAGCAUCUCGUGCUUUGGGCUGAGCACUACAUCUGCUCAUCGGUGGAGAAGAGCCUGUGACGCAGCUUUUCUCGGCACGGCCCGCUGUGUCCCGGUGGCAUUUUUUUUUUUUUUUUUAUGCUGGGAGACUCUUUUACAGCCACUUCCUCUGCUUUUCCGUGCCCUCUCCAGGCGUGUGCGUGGAUGUCCUCGUCUGCGCACGUUUGUGUGUGUGUGUGUGUGUGUGUGUGUGUGUGUGUGUGUGUGUGUGUGUGUGUAUCCUUGCUAUUUUAAAAUGUAGCUAUCUGUCUUGCCACAACUCCUUUCCUUCUCAUUAAAUCUGGGGGUAAGAUUUGCAUGUCCUCACCUUCAGUGAGGAAAUUAUUCAUGUGCUGAUGUGUUUUUCCGUUUGUUGGUGUGCGUGUGUGACACAGCAGAGGAAAAAGAGGCCGACACUAACAGCGCACAACUUAACAGCCUUUAAAAUCACUGCAUCGACGGCUUCGAGCUCGGCUCUACACAGUAACACAACCUUCUCUCGGUAAGGAUCUCAGUGAAACGUGGGUUCAGUUAUUUUAAUGGAAAUCACAAAUGCAUGUAAAAUAGGGCCGUUUUGAUCAUUGACAGCCACUCAUAUUGCAGGCACCUUGAAAAUCAACACUAAUGUGAGAGUUUCGUGAAGUAAAUAAUUGAUACUCAAGCUGGGUAGCAUGAUUAGGUCAAUUUGCUCCCAGUUGCCACUUGUACUGUUGCAUAUCAAAAAAAUAACUGCUUCUUUUUCUAAAUAUAAAAGUAUUUUGUUUGAAGGGUUGAAGCUAAUACAAAAUAAAAAUAUGUAGGUUUUUAAGAUAAUAUCAAACUAAAAUGUUUUUCUUCAAGGAAUUAUUCAGUGCAUAGGUUUUGCGACGAAAAAGGAGCUGAAAUGAUCGACUGCCAGAUUACGUCAAAAAGAUUCAAGCAUUGCACAACAGAGCCUCAAUAGUUCUCAGUCUUAUAAUACGUAGGUCUCCGAGUACGAUUUCGUUCUUGAUGUGCUUGUUGUGCAUAAAGUGAAAAGGACCGUGGGGACACACAACAGAAAUCGGCUGUCCCACAGUACGUGUCACCAGUACACGGUUCAGUACGUCACAGGACAACCAGGCGAUAUUCAGGCUUAACAAUGACUGGUGCGAUCCUUCUAGAAGCAAUCCGAUCUUAUUGCUGUAAGCAUAUAAAUAAUGUGAUACUUGUAACGUGUAAUACAGCACAAUGGCUGCAUGGUGAGAGGACCAAAUGUUUAGAUAUCACCUCAUGCACAAGCAACUUUAUUUUUGAGCCAGUGUUGUGCAAAUGAAACCUUUUGGUUUGAUUAUACAGUAUGAAGGCUGGAGAAAGACUGCUACUGCUAUGUCGUGGUAGGCAAAGACUGCUAUGUCGUGGGCGGGUGUGAACGCCUAAACUCAAACGUAGGUUUUCUUUGUUUGCCUGAACCGCUUCAAUUGUUUGUUAGAGUUAGUCUAGACUUAGUGUGUGUGUGUGUUAGGUAGUGGGGGGGGGGUUGUUAUUCUUUUUUCAACCCGUGCCAUUGCAUUCUAAUGUAAUUGGAUGGCCCUUGUUGGACGUUAUUAGUAAUAUCAUGCAGCAGUGUGUGUGCAGAGUUCUGUCCAGUGUUUCCCAAACAUUUUCUGGGGACCUAUUGAGAAAAAAUAACAAUCCAUCCCACACAAUCAUUCACCGCAGGUCUCUACUUUAAUUCAUGCAAAUAACAAUAUUGCAGUAAGGAGUUUCUGAAUAUUUAAACUACUAUUGUUGUGAACCAGCCUUUUCAAAGUGGGAUGGCUCACACCAGUUAUUUACAGCAACCAUAAAAUACUUUUGAAUUAAGAUGUAUGGACGAUGAGUGACAGUAAAACAAGUCAUAUAACUGCCUCAAAUAUUAAAAUGGAAAUACUGUACUGUUUAUCGGAGAAGGAAACCUAUUGUUAGGUUAAUAAUUACAUUUUUGUCGGUCAGUCACUCAGAGAGAAUCAUGUUUCCUCAUUUUCUGUUAUAAUGUGGGUGUUUCUUGUUGGUAUCUUUGGUGCUGUUCCCAGAAUAUCUCAUCACGUGUAUUAUCUGGCUUCAUUAAAUUCUUUUAAUUUAACGCGAAUCUUCAGACUUGCUCCUCUCUCACUGCCACUCAAUUUGUCUCGCUCUGCCUCACUCUCACGCGUUCACUCUCUCUUCUAAAUGUCUUUUUGUGUCUCCAUUUGCCUUGUUGUCUUUCUAUUCACAAAUCAAAAAGUAUGUUGUUGUUUAUUUAUUUUUUUAUUUCAUGCAUGACCAGUAAGAGGAAACCAAAUCACUAAAGGCCACGGUUUAAGCAAAAAUGCAGCAAGUACAUAAUCAGCAAGCCUUAAAUGUCAAGAGUGCGGAAAACUGGAGUCUGUGUAAACAGAAAGAUUAAAAAAACCCUGCACAAGGCAAUAAAAUACUUUCCUGUAGUAUGUGGAAAGUAUAUGAUGACUUUGAUUUAUUAUUAAAGUCCAGUUAAUACAUUUCAUAAAGCGAAAAAAACACAUUUGGAAAUAUAUUACCAUGCUAGAUUUUGUCACUGUUUUGCACUGUUCUGUCUUCUUGCUAUUUGGUAACUAAAUACUUCCAAUACACCAUCCAUAUGCUCAUUUUGUUCAAACUAUCAUAUCAAGUCAUAUUCUAACCUGCAAUGGAACCAAACUGCGGAUGAAUUUCAGGCUGUAGUUUUUGAUAUUAGUGAAACCAGUCAUCAAGCCCCUUAACUACAUGCGCACCACAAUUGCAUUACUGUGUGUGUGUGUGUGUGUGUGUGUGUGCGUGUGUGUGUGGCAAAAUGCACACUGACUAGAGGAUGAUGGGGCUGAGAAAAGCACAAACAAUAGAGCUUAUCAGACCGGUGAAGUGUGAAAGAAAGUAAUAAGCAGGGAGCCACAGAGAUGUGGGUUGCGUGCAGAGUGUUCGUAAGGGGGGCAAGCAAGGUGAUCCAGUUUGAGUAAGAGUAGGAGGGUAAAGGCAGGAGGUUGUGCCGCCCGGUGGCCUCCGAUGUCUUCAGAGAUGGCGAGCUGGAGCAGUGCAGGCUGUGCUCACUACGUCUCCAGGUCCAAAGGUAUGUUGGGUAGUCAGUCGCUGGCCUUGGUGCUGAGUUUUUAACUAAGGAGCUGAUGCCCUGAGAAAAGGUGUGAGUGUUGUUUCCGGUAAGAACCCCUUUCUUUAUUUUCCUCAUUGAUAUGAAUGAAUCCGCUAUUUAAUUAUACAGACGUAUAUUUAACAAGUCGUGUUUGGGACAUCGUCUUUGUUUUUGGAUAAUCCCCUUUAGCUUCACAGAUAUUUAAAACUUCCACAUCCAAACUUGUAUUAUAUAUAAUAUUCCGCCAUCCACUUCCCCACUUUGCCAACUUCUCUUACCUAUAACUGCAUCUAGGUCAGGUGGCACUUAGUCAGUCCCCUCAUGACUGUUAUUGCCGGGGGGAAAAAAAGUAGCUGAUCGCUGUCCUCAUUUCCCUCAACCGAUCACAUGGAAACAUCAGAGUGGAUGUGAGCAACGCUCUGCAGUAGGCAAAUAUAAAUGUAUAUAAAAGUAGUAGUCUAGUUAGUUGGAGACAUAUCUGGAUGCAGAGAGAUAAGGAUAAGGAGGAACAGAGGGGUGAUAAAUAGUGAUUUAAUAAUCAGAGUCCAAAAACAAACCAUAACCAACAGGGCAGAGAAGACUAUGGCCCUAACUGGUUUUAUAUCAAUUCAGUUGUAUGAUAACAAGAAGAACUACGACUGGCUCAAAGAAAUACAAAUAUUUCUGUCACAGUUCAGCUUCCCUCACUCACCUAACCAGCCCAUUCGGUGCACGUGUCAGUCACACCACCUCGUCAGCCCCGUGCCUCCCCCCUGCCGCGCUGCCGCACCGACUCUCCUCAGGAUUUAAACCGCUGUCUCAUUCACACUCGCUGCCAGAUCUUCCUCAGUGUUAUGCUAGACCUUCCCACAAUUCCUUCCUGCCAGAGCUCCCGUUGUCAACCCUGCCUGUUUCUUGGAUUCCCUCAACCCGUCCUUGUCCCUGUCCCGGUAACGAACCUUAGCCUCUUGUCCCCGACCACGAGUUUCCCCUGGGAGUCACUCGCAGGACUGUACUCAGCGUUGUGUUCUUGUGUGAAUAAAGGCUGGUUAAAGGAACGCAUCGUUGCUCUGUCGUACUGCUCCUUUGUUCCCACUGCACCCGUUCGCAAUUUCACCUCCGUUAUCAUGCUAAUAACGGUUUUCUUUUUUUCACUCAGUGAAAGUGAAACUAAAGCGACACAUUUAUUAAAAUUAUGUUUUAAAGUAAUUCCUUAGAAGCAGUAGAAAGAGGAGUUAUUCUAAUUACAGACCUUGUAAUGAACCACCUGCUAUGAGACCGUGUUGCUGAAGAAAAUACCUCCUGUUCUCUACAAACUGCACAAAUAUACGUGCAGUUAGGCAAACAUUACCCCCCCCCCCUCUAUAAAUGUGGAGGUGACAGUCGUCACUGUGACCAAUAUUCAUACAAAUGUUUCUGUUGUCAACGCAGAUAAACACAUCCACGCUUUCCAUUCAUCUCCACAAACACACUGAUCAGCUGCAUACAAAUUAGUCUGAAAUAAACCAAGUUGAUAAUUAAAGAGCAAAUGGCCAUCCAUGUCCACCAUAACCACCCACCCCACCGCUCCAGACCAAGACGCAUCCAACCUUUUAUCUCCAGAUGAUGAAUGGAGGGUGUGAAGGAUUCUGCCUUUGACAACGUUGCCAAUUUUCUCCUUCCACGGCUUUCAAAUUCUCUGAUAUUUUUUCUGAACUUUCAAUUCAUCAUCCUGGACACUGUCCACUCAACCGGCGGUGCCGAGCACAAAGGGCAGAUUCACUCUCACACAUGCACGGACACGCACACACAGGGAAUGGUUUUUGUAUGCGCACACGCACACAAAGGUUAACGUGAGUAGUAGGUGAAGCUACAUGAGUUUGACCGCCUCAUUUUGCCUGUAACGCUGGAAACCUGGAAAGAUUCUUUUACUUUUGGAUUCCUUUUGAUGUGUCUGACUGGAGGAUUAUUUUGGGGUUGUUUCAUGUGGGUAAAACAUUUUUGCAGAAAACAGCAGCUGUUUGGAAAGAGAUUGAGUUUCAAAUAUCACUCAGAUAAAGUAAAGCUAUUCCAUAAUUCAUUAUUUUUUGUUGCUAUCGUAGCCUGAAACUUUUUAGAGCUUAUUUUCUUUAUUAGCGCAGUCACAACUAAUUUAGACAAGACGUAACAAGCAGAAUUUACGAUUUAAAUUCUGUGUUUUUGUUAGUUGGAGAACUACUACAUUUUUAAUGCGAGUGUUUUAUGUGUGUGUGUGUGUGUGUGUGUUUGUGUGUGUGUUUGUGUGUGUGUGUGUGUGUGUGUGUGUGUAUACGGGGGUCCGGUGUGGCCUGCUGGAUGACUACUGAGUAUAAAAAAUGACAAAGAUAUAAAUUGCAUUUCUAUGAAAGUAGCUGCUAUUCCUAAAAAGUCCACUGGGCAUCACACCCUGUGAGUGAGCGCAUGUGUUGGACCAGGGGGAUCGACGACCCGAUCCCCGUGGUCCGGCCCGCGUGACAUCAAAGUGGACAGUAUGCGGCCCCCUACCCAAAAUGAGUUUGACACCCCUGGACUAAAUCUUACAAGUAAUGGGUAAUCACUUUAGAAAACACGUAUUUUAGACACUGUUGUUUCAUUUUUAAUGUUGUUUUAAACACAAAACUACACAUGUGAUCAUUUUGGAGGCAGAAUUCCACCAGGUGGAACAUGUUGCACUUGCAUACAAACAGAACCUUGCUGUUGCACACACACACAAUCGUGCGCAUGCACACACACAAGCACAGUUGGGACCCACUACCAUUUGCUGGCUUUGUGCUUUUAUCCUUGCCUACAGCAAUAUCAGUUUCACCAGCUGAGCUUUACAGGGAUGACAGUCCUACAGAAAUGUGCAUAUUUGGUUGUGUGUGCAUGUGUUUCUUUCUUGGCCUUUCCCUUCCUCUACAGUCAAGUAAACAAAGGCCUGUCUUCAAGGCUGCCAAAGCCCUUGUGAGGGAUGUUGCCCCAACUCUUGGCCAAAGCUCUCUCAAAGCCUCACAAUACUUUUGGAUAAAGACUGACCAACACAAAAAUAACUUCUGAAAUUCAAUUCUGCUGUACAUACAGACUUUUCAUAAUUUUCCCAUGUAGUGGCUACGAUGUUGAUAUGUCAUGGUAAAAGAUAAUUUUCAUAGUUAUCUACGCAUAUAGAAAUAAAAAUACACUAAAUACAGAUUUGGAGGUUUUGGGCAUCCCAUCACAGUUGAGUUUUUGGUCAACCGACCACUCUGAUGAACUAAAUCUUGAGAGAACCGGUUGGAAGGAGACGCUCAUGUUUACUUCAGCUCUCUGAUAUUUUGGGGUUUGAAGGUAGCGUACAUUCUGCUCGUCACUGCUUAUGUGCAACCGUUUAAAUUAUGACACAUAAAGAUAGCAUUCAUUGAUUUUAAGUGUUUUCUGUUUAGCUACAGUAUACCGAGCAGAAAAUAAAGUGACCAGGUCCACCAGGAUAACCAAAGAGUGUAAGAACACUUGAGACGGAACAGAAGAGUGUUGAAUUGAAGAGCAGAAACUGUGAGGCAGUCAUGGGAAAAGCUUUCUGUGUGUCGGCAGAUGGUUAGAUAAAGAGCACUUGGUUUAUUCAAGCUGCAUAAGAGGACUCCAGCUCAGGCUAUUAGACGCUCUGCCGAACAAUUCAGUAACCUGUGACUUUCAGAUAAAAGCACUCCAACAGUGUCAAAAUAAAAUCAUUGUUCAAACUGAUCAAAGAGUGUGACUGAGACAGAUCCAUCUGCAUAUCACUUCAUCAGAAUCAUCUUUAUUAACGUCAUUGGUCAUGUCUGCCUGUGAGAAUUUUAUUUGUUUAUUAGAGAUCGAGGAAAUACAAAAACGUAGUUGACAUCCCUUUCGUCAUUUUCUCUUUAUAAAUCAGGUGAGCAACACUACUAUGCUUCUUAAACACUGUUAUAUUAAAAUAAGUAUCUUUCAUUCCCUAUAAACAAUACCAGUCAAAGGUAUGUAUAUAUACGUAUAUAUAUAUAUAUAUAUAUAUA